rnacentral:rRNA from 1 species
CCUACGGGUGGCUGCAGUGGGGAAUAUUGGACAAUGGGCGAAAGCCUGAUCCAGCCAUGCCGCGUGUGUGAAGAAGGCCUUCGGGUUGUAAAGCACUUUCAGUGGGGAAGAAAGCCUUGGGGCUAAUACCCUCGAGGAAGGACAUCACCCACAGAAGAAGCACCGGCUAACUCCGUGCCAGCAGCCGCGGUAAUACGGAGGGUGCGAGCGUUAAUCGGAAUUACUGGGCGUAAAGCGCGCGUAGGCGGUCUGAUAAGCCGGUUGUGAAAGCCCCGGGCUCAACCUGGGAACGGCAUCCGGAACUGUCAGGCUAGAGUGCAGGAGAGGAAGGUAGAAUUCCCGGUGUAGCGGUGAAAUGCGUAGAGAUCAGGAGGAAUACCAGUGGCGAAGGCGGCCUUCUGGACUGACACUGACGCUGAGGUGCGAAAGCGUGGGUAGCAAACAGGAUUAGAUACCCGAGUAGUC